rnacentral:lncRNA from 1 species
UUAUCAUCGAGUUGUUCCAUCUCAGUAUCUCAUCAUAUUGCCUAUACAUGCAUAAGAUAAGUACAUGAUGAUAAGUGAUUAAAGAGUUGAGAUUAUGAUGGAUACUUACUCAAUAUAUGGAUCGACCUCCGUACAUUUUAGCAAAAUAUAUAUCUUUGCCUGUCGAAUUUCAGUAUCAGUUAAUACCCGACGAAUCUCGUGUCCAAAUUCAUGAGUGGGAUAAGCAAAUAUUGAGAUCUCUACCUCUGAUCCCUCA